rnacentral:rRNA from 1 species
CGGAACACGUACAGAACCUUCCUUUAAGCGGGGGAUAGCCCAUAGAAAUGUGGAUUAAUACCCCAUAGUAAUAUUGACUGGCAUCAGUCGGUAUUUAAAGAUUUAUCACUUAAAGAUGGCUGUGCGGCUGAUUAGGUAGUUGGUGUGGGUAACGGCCCACCAAGCCAUCGAUCAGUAACUGGUGUGAGAGCACGACCAGUCACACGGGCACUGAGACACGGGCCCG